GAUUAGGGUCAUCUUAUUUCUUCACUCGAUCUCUCUCCCUAUGUUGCCUUUCUCUCUAAAAUUUCUAUGCCCAUUUGGUAGCUUGAAUCAGGGUGCAGAAAUUAAAGUGUUGGAAAAGUGAAGGUUAGAUGACAAAGUACGAAAAAGGCUCUUAAAAUAGGUCGAGAUUAACUCCAAGUGACUUACAUUUGCGCGUCCAUACGCAUAAUCAUCAUGGAAAAGGUUUUGUUGGUGCUCAUUCCCAACUUCUACAUGGUACAAGAAGGAGCCGUGCUUGAUCCUCCUCCUACUGAUGAUGACGACGACAACAACGUUGAUUCCUAGCUUCAUAGUAUUCGUAGCGCUUGACCGUUACAUUAAUUUAAGAUAGACUAUUUUGUGUGGAAG